CAUCUCCCUUUUCGGUUCCGUGGCGCUGAGGGGUUCGGGUGCUCAGUGGCGCACUGCUGUUCAACAUGUGUCAGCUGCACUCUUCCUUCUUGUGGCUUCGGUGCAGAUUUGCUGCCAAGAUGUGGAGACCUAAAGCUACUUCUUCCCAAGGGUUUGAAUCCUGCACUUCAGAUAUAUGCAGAAGGAGCACCACCUGAGAAGGCACUGGGAGAUUAAACUGUAAGCUGUUACAAGGUAAAUACUGCAUUGCUGACAUCUCUGAAAACUCACUUCAUCCCUGUUGUCUGGAAAGGCUGCUGUGAUGACUGCAUAGUUCAGCAGAUGACCCGUGGUGAUCAAAACCAGUGUCUUUCGCCUCCUAUCUGAUGCAGCCUCGUGUAGCUCAGGCUAUUUCAAACAAAUCAGGGAAACUGAAGGUGAAACACCUUUUUGUUCCAUGAAUGUGUUUUAAACAUUUAUCUCAGGAGACUAGUAAGUGAUUUAAACAUAUAAAAAAUAAAGUAAGAUGAGUAGAAAGAUUAAGAGUAGGAUGUGGUUGUGAAGUCAGGCACAAAAUCUAGCAGAAUAAGGUUAAUCAGAUGUUAGUGCUCCAGGUUGUAAGUCUUUUGUUGCUUUGCAGUCUGCCCUGGACAGAGGAGCCCCAUGCCUCUUGUGCGAGAAACUAUUUCACCUGUUACUGAUGUUGGUGAAGACAAGGCUUUCCUAAUAUAAGGUAAUUAAUAAAUUUUUUUUUAGGUGCGUGCUGCUUUUGUCUGUGCUGCAUGUGAUAGUUUGCUUUUAGCCAUGCUUGCUAAUUUAUUUUGUUUUUAAAAGUGUGAGGUGAAGGUUAGUACCAUAUGUGUGCCUUUAGCUUCCUGUAUUUCAUAAUAAGAACAUGAAAUAAUUACCGUGUUAAUGAUCUUUAGAAUUUUCCUGUUAAAACUUAAUGGUGAAUGCCACAUUACUGUGAAUUUAGUGUCCAGAAUUAUUUUCCUUAAUAUGCAUGAUGUGGUUACACAAAACUCUGCAAUUGCAAGGUUUGCUGCUUCAUGCAAUUUCAGCACUCUGGUGCUGGGGAAUGAGCAUGUCAGUGUUGAAGAGUGGUGGGAAAUGGCUUUACCAGAAGGGGAUGGGAGUGUUGCAGCCUACUGUAAAUGAUGUUGAAUCAGGUCUCUGAGCCCCAUGAGGAUAAAACUUGAUCAAACUCUGAUACAGUAUUUUAGUUGAACUGUUCUUAAAGCUGUAACUGUCUGCUGGACCCUGCCUAAUAACAUCUUUUUUCUUUGCAGGCUUCUGGAUGUUUCUCAUUGUGAGGUAAGUACUUGUUUGAAAUUCCUAAGUAUUAGGAUUUCAACAUAGGCCCGUAAGUUAAGGCAAUUUGUCAACUAAGGGGAAAAAAGGGCAAGAGGGGCCCAUUGGCUGUGGCUUGCAUCUCAGCCAGAACAGGAGGAUAUUUUAAAGGGGAACUGCUGGCUGGAGCCCAGCCUUCACAGUCUGGUGUGGGCUAAACUUGUCACUGUGAGCUUUAGAAUUAGCUCUGAUGGUGCUAUUUAUGUAUUUGCCCUGUUGCCCAUAGCAGCCUGGCCCUAUGGCAGGGCUGCACAGGGGCUGACAGUGUGAGCUGCCUGUGUGAUGAGAUGUGACUGCCUUGACUUCAAUCAUGGAGGUCUGUAAUUAGCUCUAUCUGACUGCAGGCACCUGACUUGGAGUUUUUCUUUCUGUACUUGUUUCUACACUGUCCUAAUGGUUUGCUUUGAUCCAGGUGUGAUGGAGCUGGGAAGUGAUGCACCUGGUCAUGCUACCUGCAAAAGUAAGUUGCUAACACAUGAGUGUGAGUGGUCAGAACUGUGUGAUACAGGAAAUGAGGAAGUUACUAGAUUCUGGCCUUUAUAUUGCAGCUGCAGCAUUAAGCAGGGCUCUUAAAGAUUUUACUACCUUUGCCAGGUAAAAAGCCCACAGAUUUGCUACUAGCCUGCAGGAUUCGCUCACUCAAGGGGCUGCAUAUCUCAAAUUUAGCUACUUUCUGUGACCAAAGAGAAAUAGUGGUGACCAUUUAAAAUACAUACCUGCUAUGGACUACUUGAAUUCCUGCUUGAUAAGAAAAGCUCUGUGCUACCAGGUUGCCACAUGUUCUGGGCUGAGCAAAUGCAGUACAAUUACCUGCUAUUAAACUUCUUGCUAUUGAAAAUUUAGUGGGUUCUUUCAGGCAGUAGCACUGAUCUUGAAUGCUUAUGUGGUAAAUUGUUUGUCUUGAUGGCUAGAUCAGAGCUUUUAUGGUGAUGUGAAUGAGGAUGUGGUUUGGAGUAAGGUCAGGUCCCCCUGUUAAAGGACAAGCAGCAGAUACAUGAAGCUGCUCUUGGCGUGUACUGUUUGUGAUGAAUUUGAAGCAAUGGGAAUCUCUCUGAAAGAGGCUGAGGAGAACUCUUGUGCUGAAACAGUACCCACAUUUAUACUCUCAAAUCACUGUCAAAAGUGUGUUAGUACAAUUUCAUUUCUUUACAGGGUGAAGCUUGCAUGGAGUUCUAAGAAACAAGAUGGAUGUGUCUGAGGUAAGUGUAUAAUAUCUGGGGUUUAAUAAUUCCUAGAGUGUUGUCUUUGUGCUGAAUCCUUAAAUAGUGGUGCCUAAAAUUAAUUCUCUAAGACACCUGAUUUGUCUUCCCUUUGUUUUAUCUGGCUGUUCUGUGGGCACUAAUAUUUUUCAUUAAAAUGAAAAAACCUUGUGCUGUGGCUGUCAGUUCUCAGCAGUUACUACUAACCUUUAUAUUGGCUCUACACAAAUUUAGCUGAAGUUCUAGAUUGCUGCAGAAACUUGUUUUCAAACAAACUGGUAGAAGCCAUUUUCAAAAUCUAUGCGUCUUGUAUUUUAGGUAUUUAAAAUCAUGAAAUACAACACUGUUGGGAGAGACAGUAUCACAAAGCAAAGUAGUAGCUUUUUACUUUCCCUGAUUCUUCCAAUGUUAGUAACUCUGUAUUUCCAGUAAAGUUAGGAUUUGUAAGCUUUGUUUAAGUUAAAGAUGCCAGCUAGGUAAAAGUUUGGUGAAUAGAAAUUGAUAAAUAAACCUUGAAUGUAGUGCUGCUGUCUGUUAUUCUGAAAGUAUUUUUCUCUUCCUCAGGAAAGGAUUGUGCUAUCUGCAGCUCACUGGGUAAGUCCACACAACAGAUAAAUUGUAUUAAAAACUUCUGGAAAUACUUGUAGCCACUGAUGCAACUGAUUCUGCCACAUGAGUUACUGUGAUAUUACCCUUUCCGUUCCUUUUCUGAGGUUACAAAGCUCUUGAGGAGCUUUCUAGCAGUUGUGCUGCUGCAUAUGCUAACUGUGUUUUCUUGAUAUAGGUGAAAAGGCAAUUCUGAAACUAGCACAUGAAGAAUUAAGAAGGUGAGCGUAACUGCUGUGAUAAUGUAUUUGGUGGAACAAGUGAUGAAAUCUUAGCUUGAACUCUCUCACUGAACAGAGAUGAAAUUCUAAGAUCUGAGAUGUUCCCAUCAAGCGUGUUGUGCUGGUUUGGUACCUUAUAAUGGUUCUUAUGUCUUUCUUAAUAGGUGGAAGAUUGCUGAUGAAUGGGUUACACUUGCAUGAACAGCAUUAAAAAAGCUGAUGUGUUUUUAUUUCACUGGUAAUGUUUGCCUGAUGCUGAUUGGAGCCAAUAAAAAUCUGUAAACUCUA